rnacentral:lncRNA from 1 species
CCUAUAAAAAAUAGUGAAGGAAAUAUUACAGAAAACACAACAAAUGGCUAUGUAUCAGAAGACACUAAUUGUACGGCUAAUUCGAGUGAAUUAUUUUCAGAUAAUGAGAAUGAGAAUACAAAUGAAAAUGAUUUAAUAUGUUAUACACCUAAUGUUUCAAAAACUGUUAAAAGACUUCGUUUUUGAAUAUCUCUGAAACGUUUUUAUUAGAUACCAAUAAACUAUUCCAGACUCCAAGUGUAGAGAAACCAGCAGUUAUUCCAAGUACACUGUUAAGUUUAUUACCAUUUAUAUCAAAGAUUAAUGAGCAGUGGACAUCUGAUUUAGAAACAUCUCAAAUGAAUAAAAGUUUUCCUAUAAAAUCAUCAGAAAGUAUCGAACAAACUGUUUAUUUAAAAGAAUGUAUUCCAAAUAAUUCACAUUUUAAGAAUAUAUUUGAAGAACCUACAUCGACGUCUCCUGUAAUAAAUUAUACAAGAAUGAGAUGAAGAACUAAAAGGAGAAUUUUUAAGAAUACUUUUGCUAACAUGAACGUUGUUAAAAUUGGAUUGAAUAAUCAAGAUAGUGAAAAUGAUAUUGUAGCUAUGGAUACAUAUAGGGAUAAAGAGAAGAAAAAUAUUCUUCUGAAAAUUAAUAGCGGUGCGCUGUUUUUCUCUGAUGCUUGUUUGCUAGCAUAGAUUAAGUUUGUGCUAGCGCUUCGCUGUGGAAAAUGAUGAUAAUGUGACAGAUAUAUUGCGAAAGUGUCUUGAAGCUAUUUCAGAACAACUUAUCGAUCGAGGUAUAUCAUAAGAAAUUUUAACAAUCACAUUUACUACAACUUUAUCAUUAAAAUUUCGCUGUAUUGAUUUUUAUAGAGAAGAAAUCAUUUACUAUAAUUCAAGUGGUUUGGUGAUAGAAGAUGGUGGAUAUCUUAUAUCAGAUAAAGAUAAUUGUAUAGGAAUCUCUAAAAUUAAAUGAUCCUUUCUUGCAAAUCCAGGAAUUUAUCUGAGUCUUAUUCCUAGAAAUUGAAUUGAAAAUUACAAAUGGAUUAUUUGGAAACUAAUACCAUGGAUUUAAAUUUAAUUUUAUUUGCAUAUCUAGAUCGCAAAGGUCAUGUUUAAGAAGGAUAUUGGAAAAAGAUGAUUGUGCAUCCAAACGAAUGGUUUUAUGUGUAUUAUCUAUUACUGAGUCCAGAGAUGACAAAAAUAAAGAAUCUAGUACAAUAGUAUCAAACAUAAAUUAUUGGAAAAUAAUAUUAACAGAUGGAUGGUAUAGCAUUCCUGCUUUUAUUGAUACAACCAUGAUGAGUUACGUAACAUCUGGAAAAAUACGCGAAGAUUCCACACGAUGUAUCAUUAAGAAUUCAUACCAAUUUAACCAGAAGAACUAAAUGGGAUACUAAAUUAGGGUAUACACAUUGUCUUGGACCUAUGCUAAUUAAAUUAAAAAAUGUAUGCCCUAGUGGUGGUUUAGUUGGAAAACUUAAAGUUAUGAUUACUAGAACA